rnacentral:rRNA from 1 species
UACGGAGGGUGCAAGCGUUGCUCGGAAUUAUUGGGCGUAAAGGGUAGGUAGGUGGUCUUAUUUGUCUGGGGUGAAAUCCUUGAGCUUAACUCAAGAAGUGCCUCAGAAACGGUGAGACUAGAGUCCUGGAGAGGGUCGUGGAAUUCCCGGUGUAGCGGUGAAAUGCGUAGAGAUCGGGAGGAACACCAGAGGCGAAGGCGGCGACCUGGACAGGUACUGACACUCAACUACGAAAGCGUGGGGAGCAAACAGG